rnacentral:rRNA from 1 species
UGCGUGUGUGGAAAGUUUUUUCGGCCAGGGAUGUGCUCGCGGCCUAUCAGCUUGUUGGUGGGGUAAUGGCCUACCAAGGCUUCGACGGGUAGCCGGCCUGAGAGGGUGACCGGCCACACUGGGACUGAGACACGGCCCAGACUCCUACGGGAGGCAGCAGUAGGGAAUCUUCGGCAAUGGACGAAGGUCUGACCGAGCAACGCCGCGUGAGUGAAGAAGGUUUUCGGAUCGUAAAACUCUGUUGUUAGAGAAGAGCAAGGAUGAGAGUAGAACGUUCAUCCCUUGACGGUAUCUAACCAGAAAGCCACGGCUAACUACGUGCCAGCAGCCGCGGUAAUACGUAGGUGGCAAGCGUUGUCCGGAUUUAUUGGGCGUAAAGCGAGCGCAGGCGGUUUCUUAAGUCUGAUGUGAAAGCCCCCGGCUCAACCGGGGAGGGUCAUUGGAAACUGGGAGACUUGAGUGCAGAAGAGGAGAGCGGAAUUCCAUGUGUAGCGGUGAAAUGCGUAGAUAUAUGG